ACACUACUGAGGAGUCCCACAAUAGGACGAUACAGCCGUCCAGUGC
rnacentral:hammerhead_ribozyme from 1 species